AUACGGAGGAUGCGAGCGUUAUCCGGAUUUAUUGGGUUUAAAGGGAGCGUAGGCGGGAGCUUAAGUCAGCGGUUAAAUGGUGCGGCUCAACCGUGCCCUGCCGUUGAAACUGGGUUUCUUGAGAGUGCAAGAGGCGGAUGGAAUUCAUGGUGUAGCGGUGAAAUGCUUAGAUAUCGUGAAGAACUCCGAUUGCGAAGGCAGUCCGCUGGGGCACGUCUGACGCUGAUGCUCGAAGGUGCGGGAAUCAAACAGGAUUAGAUACCCUGGUAGUCCGCACGGUAAACGAUGAUUACCCGCUGUCGGCGGCAGACAGUCGGCGGCCAAGCGAAAGCGAUAAGUAAUCCACCUGGGGAGUACGCCGGCAACGGUGAAACUCAAAUGAAUUGACGGGG
rnacentral:rRNA from 1 species